rnacentral:lncRNA from 1 species
GCUGAAAGUCCGUAUUGCCCAGCGACAGCCCCGAAACCUGAAGGAUCUGGAGAAGGUCUGUAUGGAGGAGUGGGCCAAAAUCCCUGCUGCAGUGUGUGCAAACCUGGUCAAGAACUACAGGAAAUGUAUGAUCUCUGUAAUUGCAAACAAAGGUUUCUGUACCAAAUAUUAAGUUCUACUUUUCUGAUGUAUCAAAUACUUAUGUCAUGCAAUAAAAUUCUAGUGAAUUACUUAAAAAUCAUAAGAUGUGAUUUUCUGGAUUUUUGAUUCAGUAUCUCACAGUUGAAGUGUACCUAUGAUAAAAAUUACAGACCUCUACAUAAUUUGUAAGUAGGAAAACCUGCUAAAUCGGCAGUGUAUCAAAUACUUGUUCUCCCCACUGUAUAUAUAUAUGCACAUUUUGAAUAUUCCUUAUUUGUUAAGUAAAUAACGGAACCAAGAAAAGAUGGAACCAACAAAGGUGAUAUGAGAACACUCAGAGCAGGUGAGGGAACACUCAGAGCAGGUGAGGGUACACUCAGAGCAGGUGAGGGUACACUCAGAGAAGGUUAUAUGAGAACACUGAGAGCAGGUGAGGGAACAGUCGGAGCAGGUGAUAUGAGAACACUCAGAGCAGGUGAUAUGAGAACACUCAGAGCAGGUGAGGGAACACUCACAGCAGGUGAUAUGAGAACACUCAGAGAAGGUGAGGGAACACUCACAGCAGGUGAUAUGAGAACACUCAGAGAAGGUGAGGGAACACUCGGAGCAGGGGAUAUGAGAACACUCAGAGAAGGUGAUAUGAGGUCUCUCAGAGAAGGUGGGGGAACACUCCGAGAAGGUGAUAUGAGAACACUCAGAGAAGGUGACAUGAGCACACCCAGAGCAGGAGAUAUGAGAACACUCAGAGAAGGUGAUAUGAGAACACUCAGAGAAGGUGGGGGAACACUCAGAGAUGGUGAUAUGAGAACACUCAGAGAAGGUGAUAUGAGAACACUCAGAGAAGGUGAUAUGAGAACACUCAGAGAAGGUGAUAUGAGAACAC